rnacentral:lncRNA from 1 species
AACGAAUGAGAUUUUUUUUCGUUUUGGUGUAUUAUAUUUUGAAACUUUAAAUGUAUUUUCUAGUUUUAUUUAAACAGUUAAUUUAUUUAAAUCUUAUUUAAUUUUAAAUUUGAUCAGUAAUAAAAUUAGUUUUAUAUUAAAUUUUUUUAUUUAGUUAGUUUGUGGAUCGGACAUAAUUAAAAAUUUUCAGUCCGCAAAUCAAUCCAUAAAAUGGUGGAUUGGAUAUGAAUUGGGUUAAAUCCGAAUCCGAUUUGCAGAUGUAUGGAUUGGAUUUGGAUUGAAUUUCAUCAAUCCGUGGAUUGGAUUGGAUUGAAAAUUUAUAAUCUGUAAAAUCAUGGAUCGGAUAUGGAUUGAUGUCCAAUCCGUAAAAUCCGAUCUGCAAACACCCUUAGUACUUAUAGAGUUUGUAUUUCCAUACGUACUUAUGAAGUGAUAUAAAAGGACAUUUUAGAGUGCCAACAUUAUUACUUUGGACAUACGAAAUACAAACUUAUAUAAACAUAACAUUACUCAACUGAAAACAAUUCAAAUAGAAGUCAUUAACCAGUCUUGUCAGGGUUUCUUCCAUACUGAGAGGCCAUAAGAAGGUCAAGAUUGUCAUUUGUUAUCUCAUCAGCAAGAAUACCCUCUUGCUUAGCAAAACGAAAACCCUCUUUUAUGACAAACAUUUAUGGCCAUUCGUUCUUACCUGAACAUUAUAUAUUAGAAAAUUUAUUGAUAAACACAUAAUUACAUGGCAAUUAGAAAUGGUAAAUCAACUGAAUUCGACCUAAAAUACCUGCAAAAGCAGUUUCCAUAGUCUUCAAUUCAAUUCUCCCUCUGGUUUAAACAAAAAAAGUAAGUAGUUGAACGAGUUCCUGCUUCCCGUUUGAUGUGGUCUCUGUUCGUGUGUGUGUGUGUGUGUGUGUGUGUGUGUG